AACUGUUUACAGGUAGCUCUACCCAGAUUUUACCAAAAAUAAUUCAAAUUACACUAUCCAAACCUCAGGAUUUUGCCCUCAUAUAAAGAAGUGGGAGGGGAGGACUCAAGAUGGCGCUGUGAGAACAACCCAGGAUUAGAGCUCUUCUUGAAUCCGCAAACAGGCAUAUCUUAAAGACAAUUGCAUGUUCAGUUCCAGAUGAGCACAAGAAAGCGAGUAUCAUGAUACAGGAGUCAUAUGAACUGUUUCAUCUUCUAAUGCUUCUUAUGUACAUAAUCCAACUUGCUCUGCCUUCCAACUCCAUCCCAUGCCAACCAUGUGCUUCCCUGCCUUUCAAUCAUCACUGCUUCCAACAAUGACAGACUUCUAAGAAAGUCAGAAAACGUUAGUCUGAAAAGUUAAGUAGAAGGAGGAAAGGAGUCUAAGGCACACAGCACAGUAGGUAUUUAAUAAAUAUCUCAUAAAUUAAUAAAUGACUUAUGUACAGCUAAGCACCUAAACGAUGAAGAGAGAAAGAGGACAAAAGAAUGAUCUGGGAGAAGUGGGAAGUGGCUCAAGACAAAAAUAUGAGAGCUUCCAAUGGGGUGAGUGGAAAAGAAAACUUAUUUAAGUGGUGAAGAGCCAUUACGGAGAGGGUCAUAGGAACUGGGAGACUUUCCUUCCCUCUCUGGUUAGACUACAUUUCAGUCAAAGGGCAUAGCCAUGCCUUUUUAUAUAUUCAGUCCACAGAUAUACUUACUGUUUAUCUCAUUUUAUGCCCAAUUAGGUGGGAUGAGACGCAUGGGAUGAUAGGAUAGCUGGGGUAGCGUGGGUUUAGGGGGUGGGGUUGGGGAGUGGGAAAAGACUAAACCCAUCUCUCUGUGCUGUUAAUCUCAGAAGUUAUCAUAUUAUCCAGCAAUUCCUAACCCCACUUGAUUCUGUGAGCAGCUCUCUGGUGAACAGAGUUCAUGGUAUGAAAGAUGUAAUCCACUCAGUGUGCAGAUCCAUUGUUUUGUCACUGAUACAAUGGCAGGCAUUCCAAAAAUGAAUCUUCACCUUGCCUGUCAAAGCCUAUCUAUUCUAAUUUCCCACCCUGAUCUGGGAAAACUACAAAAAGGACCAAUUACCCUCUGAGUUAGUCAGAGCCUCAUUUGUACUCAAUGAGGAAUCACAUACAGGCACACAACCCCUCCAACAGCACAACUGGUGCUGACUAUUAACCUAGAUCAAUAGUCUCAAUAGAAAAGGUCAAAGGUCCAAUGGGCUCUGGGAACCCCAGACCACAUUACUCUCCACCUUGACCAACUUGACAGACAAGCUCAAUUGCCCAGGCUGUUCCCUUUCAGUCAGUGCAUUAGCAAAAAACUUUGGAGCUUGAAACUAACAGUCCUUUUCUUUGUAUUAAAUACCAAAAACGGUAAAUAAUAAUAAGCAGAAGAUAGCAAAGAGGGAAUAAGAACAAAGAGAAUAAAACAAGACAAAUAAUUCCAUUUCUGACUCACUUUUUAUAAAAGGAUAUAUAUGAUUUUGCAGAUUUCCUCUAUAGGAGGCUUCAUUUUAUAAUAAGAGAUUUGUAGCAAUUCUGCUAUAUGGCUUAUAGCAAUC
rnacentral:lncRNA from 1 species